UACGUAGGGUGCGAGCGUUGUCCGGAAUUAUUGGGCGUAAAGGGCUCGUAGGCGGUUUGUCGCGUCGGGAGUGAAAACCCAGGGCUUAACCCUGGGCUGGCUUCCGAUACGGGCAGACUAGAGGUAUGCAGGGGAGAACGGAAUUCCUGGUGUAGCGGUGAAAAUGCGCAGAUAUCAGGAGGAACACCGAUGGCGAAGGCAGGUCUCUGGGCCACUACUGACGCUGAGAAGCGAAAGCAUGGGGAGCGAACAGGA
rnacentral:rRNA from 1 species